rnacentral:rRNA from 1 species
CAGCAGCCGCGGGAAUACAGAGGGUGCAAGCGUUAAUCGGAAUUACUGGGCGUAAAGCGCGCGUAGGUGGUUUGUUAAGUUGGAUGUGAAAGCCCCGGGCUCAACCUGGGAACUGCAUCCAAAACUGGCAAGCUAGAGUACGGUAGAGGGUGGUGGAAUUUCCUGUGUAGCGGUGAAAUGCGUAGAUAUAGGAAGGAACACCAGUGGCGAAGGCGACCACCUGGACUGAUACUGACACUGAGGUGCGAAAGCGUGGGGAGCAAACAGGAUUAGAUACCCCCGUAGUCCCUGUCUCUUAUAU